GCGGAAAUAGCUCAAACGGGCAGAGCGCCUCGUUGCCGACGAGGAGGCUGUGGGUUCGAGCCCCACUUUUCGCACCA
rnacentral:tRNA from 1 species